UGUUAGUCAAGGUUUGACGUCGAGCUUGUUCAUGGCACCACACUACAAUCUCGUGUUAGACUAUGCAAUCUAAAUCCAUAUUCGGCUAAAACUGCCUUUGCAACGAAAGAGACUGGAUGCGAAGUGGUUCUUCGCAGUGGGGGAAUUGCUCAAUUUAAUUGAAAUAGGCGGCCAACCAUAUCGUUUUUUGGUUCACUUGUGGUAUUGGAGUCUCCUUGUGCGCAUCGAUGCUGUCUAGGCUCAUUCUCCGUGGUAGGAGAAUGCGUGUCCAGGAAAUAACUGGAAUGCUAAUAAACUAAAGCCGUCUGCUUGGCUUUAUUAUCUGGGAAGCUGACUGGAGUAAUAUGGAGCAGGAUAACAGACAGCGACUAACUACACAAGGAGAGGAAAAAAUCGGACAGGUGUGCAGCCACGGUCCUGAGCUAAUUUAAGGUAAUUGCGAGGCCUUGUCAGAGCGCUCAAACAAAAGCACUGCGAGCGCCGGUUUAGUACAGAACGUGCCGUUAUAUGGUGGAAAGGCUUGUUGAAUUAAUGGGACACCAGAAAUAAACACUCCAAAGGUGUAGGAAAUACCACUUGUUGUGUCAUAAAUGGCACAAUAUUUGUGACUGGGGGCCACUAUGGAUCCAGAGGAGGCAGCACCUAUGAAAAAAUUCAGGCCUACAAGCCGGACAUCAAUGAGUGGAUCAUUGUCACAAAACUCCUCAUCCAGAGUAUGGCCUGUUCUCUGAACAACAAGCUGUACUUGGGAGGACAGACUAGGAUGAGAUCCAGAGAGAG
rnacentral:lncRNA from 1 species